UACGUAGGGGCUAGCGUUAUCCGGAAUCACUGGGCGUAAAGGGUGCGUAGGCGGCCAAUAAAGUCAGAGGUGAAAGGCUACGGCUCAACCGUAGUAAGCCUUUGAAACUUAUUGGCUUGAGUGCAGGAGAGGAGAGUGGAAUUCCUAGUAUAGCGGUGAAAUGCGUAGAUAUUAGGAGGAACACCAGUGGCGAAGGCGGCUCUCUGGACUGUAACUGACGCUGAGGCACGAAAGCGUGGGGAGCAAACAGGAUUAGAUACCCCCGUAGUCCCUGA
rnacentral:rRNA from 1 species